rnacentral:rRNA from 1 species
GAUGAACGCUGGCGGCGUGCCUUAAGCAUGCAAGUCGAAUGGUCGCAAGACAAUGGCAGACGGGUGAGUAAUAUAUAGGAAUCUACCCUUCAAUGGACCAUAGCUCAUCGAAAGAUGGGGUAAUAGUCCAUAGUCUCGAAAGAGUAAAGAUCUUAACUGAUCGUUGAAGGAGGAGCCUAUAUCCUAUCAGCUAGUUGGCGGGGUAAAAGCCCACCAAGGCGAUGACGGGUAGCUGGACUGAGAGGUCGGUCAGCCACAACUGCACUGAGACACGGGCAGUACACCUACGGGUGGCAG